UACGAAGGUCCCAAGCGUUAUCCGGAUUUAUUGGGUUUAAAGGGUGCGUAGGCGGGUUAUUAAGUCAGUGGUGAAAGCUCCAGUGCCUAACAUGGAAUUGCCAUUGAUACUGAUGAUCUUGAGUACAUUUGAAGUGGGCGGAAUGUGUCAUGUAAGUGGUGAAAUACUUAGAUAUGACACAGAACACCGAUUGCGUAGGCAGCUCACUAAACUGUAACUGACGCUGAGGCACGGAAAAGCGUGGGGAGCAAACAGG
rnacentral:rRNA from 1 species